rnacentral:rRNA from 1 species
AUUGAACGCUGGCGGCAGGCUUAACACAUGCAAGUCGAGCGGGGUGAUGGUGCUUGCACUAUCACUUAGCGGCGGACGGGUGAGUAAUGCUUAAGAAUCUGCCUAUUAGUGGGGGACAACAUCUCGAAAGGGAUGCUAAUACCGCAUACGUCCUACGGGAGAAAGCAGGGGAUCACUUGUGACCUUGCGCUAAUAGAUGAGCCUAAGUCGGAUUAGCUAGUUGGUGGGGUAAAGGCCUACCAAGGCGACGAUCUGUAGCGGGUCUGAGAGGAUGGUCCGCGACACUGGGAAUUGGACACGGGCCAGACUCCUACCGGAGGCAGCAGUGGGGAAUAUUGGAAAAUGGGGGGAACCCUGAUACAGCCAUGCCGCGUGUGUGAAGAAAGCCUUAUGGUUAUAAAGCACUUUAAGCGAGGAGGAGGCUAUUUUGGUUAAUACCCAAGAUGAGUGGACGUUACUCGCAGAAUAAGCACCGGCUAACUCUGUGCCAGCCGCCGCGGUAA